rnacentral:rRNA from 1 species
GAUGAACGCUGGCGGCGUGCCUAAUACAUGCAAGUCGAGCGAACAGACGAGGAGCUUGCUCCUCUGACGUUAGCGGCGGACGGGUGAGUAACACGUGGAUAACCUACCUAUAAGACUGGGAUAACUUCGGGAAACCGGAGCUAAUACCGGAUAAUAUAUUGAACCGCAUGGUUCAAUAGUGAAAGACGGUUUUGCUGUCACUUAUAGAUGGAUCCGCGCCGCAUUAGCUAGUUGGUAAGGUAACGGCUUACCAAGGCAACGAUGCGUAGCCGACCUGAGAGGGUGAUCGGCCACACUGGCACUGAGGCACGGUCCAGACUCCUACGGGAGGCAGCAGUAGGGAAUCUUCCGCAAUGGGCGAAAGCCUGACGGAGCAACGCCGCGUGAGUGAUGAAGGUCUUCGGAUCGUAAAACUCUGUUAUUAGGGAAGAUCAAAUGUGUAAGUAACUAUGCACAUCUUGACGGUACCUGAUCAGAAAGCCACGGCUAACUACGUG